rnacentral:rRNA from 1 species
UACGGAAGGCAGCAGUGGGGAAUAUUGCACAAUGGGCGCAAGCCUGAUGCAGCCAUGCCGCGUGUAUGAAAAAGGCCUUCGGGUUGUAAAGUACUUUCAGUCGUGAGGAAGGUGUUAAGGUUAAUAACCUUAGCAAUUGACGUUAGCGGCAGAAGAAGCACCGGCUAACUCCGUGCCAGCAGCCGCGGUAAUACGGAGGGUGCGAGCGUUAAUCGGAAUUACUGGGCGUAAAGGGCACGCAGGCGGUUAAUUAAGUUGGAUGUGAAAUCCCCGGGCUUAACCUGGGAAUGGCAUUCAAGACUGGUUAGCUAGAGUCUUGUAGAGGGGGUAGAAUUCCAUGUGUAGCGGUGAAAUGCGUAGAGAUGUGGAGGAAUACCGGUGGCGAAGGCGGCCCCUGGACAAAGACUGACGCUCAUGUGCGAAAGCGUGGGGAGCAAACAGGGAUUAGAUACC